GGAGGAGUUCCCGAGUGGCCAAAGGGGGCAGACUGUAAAUCUGUUACGUUUCGGUGGUUCGAAUCAACCCUCCUCCA
rnacentral:tRNA from 2 species